GGAAUCCAAGUUAAAAACCAUCACAUCUGCCUUUUUAUUCAGAACGGAAGUGCGAUUUUACCCGCAAUUUGCACUUGCUAUCAGUGUCUUCUCUGACAGUUAUAAUUGAAGGUCUGAUUAUAUCGAUGAUCAAAUGAUGCCAGUGGCUGAUUCAGGACAUUAACUAUCUACUACAGUUCUAUUAAACAUUCAAAUGCCAACCGUUGAUUUUAUUUUCUGGAUGUUACCUGAUGACUUGGACAGAGG